GAUGAACGCUGGCGGCGUGCCUAAUACAUGCAAGUCGAGCGAACGGACGAGAAGCUUGCUUCUCUGAUGUUAGCGGCGGACGGGUGAGUAACACGUGGAUAACCUACCUAUAAGACUGGGAUAACUUCGGGAAACCGGAGCUAAUACCGGAUGAUAUUUUGAACCGCAUGGUUCAAAAGUGAAAGACGGUCUUGCUGUCACUUAUAGAUGGAUCCGCGCUGCAUUAGCUAGUUGGUAAGGUAACGGCUUACCAAGGCAACGAUGCAUAGCCGACCUGAGAGGGGGAUCGGCCAACCUGGAACUGAGACACGGUCCAGACUCCUACGGGAGGCAGCAGUAGGGAAUCUUCCGGAAUUGGCGGAAGCCUGACGGAGCAACGCCGCGUGAGUGAUGAAGGUCUUCGGAUCGUAAAACUCUGUUAUUAGGGAAGAACAUAUGUGUAAGUAACUGUGCACAUCUUGACGGUACCUAAUCAGAAAGCCACGGCUAACUACGUG
rnacentral:rRNA from 1 species